rnacentral:tRNA from 1 species
GCCCGAGUAGCUCAGUGGAAGAUCGCCUGCUUGGUAAGCAGGAAGUCGCGGGUCCGAUCCCCGCCUCGGGCUCCA